GUCCUCCUCCACAUCCAGCCCGCGGCCGGCCCUGUGCAUUGGUUUCAUUUUCUCCAAGCCUGUGAGCCUCAGUUUCUGAGUCCGAGGCUAGAGGAAAAGAAAGCGAGCUUUAAAUGACUCCAGUGACUGGAGAGCCAAGGGUUUGAGGCGGGGAGCAGGGUGAGUGGCCUGGUUUGCAAAAUCCCAGGAGAUCCGGAGGCCUCUGCCUGGAAGUGUGUCCGCCUUGCCUGUUGGGUCAAAAUAUAAUCAUUACCCUAACUGCUGGACGUGCUGGUUAGGAGGUUAGGAGUCAAAGAAGCGGAACACAGGUAAAAGUGACAUUUAAAUGGGAGAGGAACCUCAGAGGACCUGCCUCACGGAAGCCCAAAUAAAGUGAAGAAACCCCAA